rnacentral:rRNA from 1 species
UAAUGGGAAAUUUUUAUAUUAAUUCUUUCUAAAGUGACAUAAUAUGAAGUUUAUAAUGAAAAGCAAAUCAUUGUUUAUUAAUAUUAUCAGGAAAUAGCUUUAGAGAUUAUAAACCGUACUUUAAACCGACACAGGUGGAUGGGUUGAAUAAACUAAGGCGCUUGAGAGAACUUUGUUGAAGGAACUCGGCAAAAUGGCCCUGUAACUUCGGGAGAAGGGGUAAUUUUUUUAGGGCAACCUAGAAAAAUUGGCACAGAAUUGGAGGUAGCGACUAUUUAGUAAAAAUACAAGUCUCUGCUAAUUUGUAAAAAGAUGUAUAGGGACUGACACCUGCCCGGUGCUGUAAGAUAAAAAAAUUAUUGUUUUGGCUUUAAUUUUAAAUCCCAGUAAACGGCGGCCGUAACUCUGACGGUCCAAAGGUAGCGAAAUUCCUUGUCGGGUAAGUUCCGACCUGCAUGAAUGGUGUAACGACUUCCUCACUGUCUCCAACAAAGACUCAGUGAAAUUGAAAUAUCCGUGAAGAUGCGGAUUACUUGUAGCUAGACGGAAAGACCCCGUGCACUUUUACUAUAAGCAUCUAUUGUAAAAAAUUUAAUUUUGUGUAGAAUAGGUGGGAGCUGUUUGAAAUCUUUACGCAAGUAAACUAUUUAGGCAACUUUGAAAUACCACCCUUUUUUAACUUUUUUACUCACUCUUAUAGAGGACAGUUUAUGCUGGGUAGUUUAGCUGGGGCGGCUGCCUCCUAAAAAGUAACGGAGGCGUACAAAGGUAAACUCAAAUAAUUUUCAUUAUUUUAGAGCGUAAUGGUAUAUGUUUGCCUGACUGUAAGAUUGAUAAAUCGAACAGAGAUGAAAAUCGGUCAUAGUGAUCCGGUGGUUCUUCGUGGAAAGGCCAUCGCUCAACAAAUAAAAAGUACGCCGGGGAUAACAGGCUGAUGCCUCUCUAGAGCUCUUAUCGACAGGGGCGUUUGGCACCUCGAUGUCGGCUCAUCACAUCCUGAAGCUGAAGAAGGUUUCAAGGGUUCGGCUGUUCGCCGAGUAAAGUGGUACGCGAGCUGGGUUUAGAACGUCGUGAGACAGUUUGGUCCCUAUCUACUACAAGCGUUAGAAAAUUGA